CUGACGGGGCGUAAUUCGGCAGAGGUCUGGCCACCUCGGAGCCCGACCGAGAGCAAGUUGCUGCGCGCCCACCUCUCGAGAUGGAGGGGCUGCGUUUCUUGCACGUCACUGUGGGCUCUCUGCUGGCCACCUACAGCUGGUACAUCGUCUUCAGCUGCUUCCUUUUGAACCUGAUUUUUCAGAAGUUAUCAGCCUUGAUGCAGAGGCAGCUGGACCGAGCCGGCUACUGUGAAACCUGACAAUGCUGUGAAACGACAAGAGGCCUUAGCAGCCGCUCGCCUGAAAAUGCAGGAAGAACUGAACGCACAGGUGGAAAAGCAUAAGGAGACACUCAGACAGGCAUGAAGCACUUUGCGUAGGUGGCCCUAACGGUGUGAGGCUGAGUGAGUGAAGCCGUGUGCACACCCUCGGGUGGGGCCUGGGACCAGCUUGUCUGCAGCACCAUCUCCAGUAGAACUGGUGAGGUGGCCGGGGGAGUUUCCUGUUGGGGCAGAGACUCGUGGUUCCCUCACAGCAGGCCUCACAUAACAGGUCUGUGUAGAUGCCACGCCACCAGACACACACGGUACACGUUCUGUGUGCCACAUGUGAAGCUGUGUGCCACAUGUGAUCUGUCCUUGUGGGGGCCACGCUGCAGUGGAUUGAAGGGUUCAGUGGGUGUUUUGAAAGGUCUUUCUAAAAGCACGGGGUGGUUUGGGGACAUUUGUAAAAGUCACACACCACCCCUGAGAAGUGUAGACUCUUUUUCAAUCCAGAUGUUUACUUCUGGGCUCCUCUCUUCCCUAAGGCAGCACCAGAGCUGGUCCCUGUCUCGGUCCUGUGCCCUCCUCCCACUUUCCUUUUGUUGCUUCUGUGGUCAUCCAGCCUGCAGCUGCUCUUCCCAGCCUGCUAACCACACCUGACCCCUUCUCAUCACACUGUUCCAGCAGCCUUUUUCCUGGGUCACCUCCUUGCUCAUCUUCUGCUAACCCAAAAUGCACACUUCCUUUGAUCCUUUCAAAGCACAGGUUUGGUCUCUGCGAGCUGCUGGAGGUCACACAGACCUCUGUGAGGAAGGGCCGGGGGUAGAGGCCUUGCUCUCUCCUCCAGGAUGCUCAUUUUCUGGGACAUCUGGUCAACCUACUGGAGCCCCUGCUUCUUUUACUGGGACAUCUGGUCGACCUACCAGGGGCCCCUGCUCUUUCUUCUAAUUCUACCUCCCUUCUCUUCUCUCCUUCAUUUCUCCCCCUUCUCCAAUCAUUACAUUUUUGGUGUGUCUUCAAACCCCAUCAACACAUCCACUGGGCAGCAGUCUUAAUGGCACACAAGUAGAGUUAGGGGAUGUUUUUAGAAUCACUGCACUAAGGAAUCCCACACACAGUAAGUGCAGAGCUCUCUUUUCUGCACAGCACAGCACUUGGCUCAGGCUCAUUAUUCUCUGCUUUCUCUCACACUGCACCAUCCUCUCAAUAGUCCCCACCCAAAAGGAACAAAGGGUAUGGAAAUAGCCUCUCAUUUUCAGGGUCACUUUUGUCAUGGGGUCCCCUGGUACUACCCUCAGCUUCCCCAUACUGCCAGGCAGCACCCCACUUCAGUGUACAGGGGAGCAGGGCCAGCCCUUCACUGCUAAUCUACUGGUCUCUGAGCAGCUUUCUUCUGUUCACCCACACAGCACUCCACAGGUGCUGUCUUCAGCUGGAGUGUUCCCUAACUUCUAUUCCACUUUCAGGGUGUGGCCACGGCUCCUGUUAUUCUAAGAGGCCUCCUUUGGAUUCACAAGUCACCAAACAGUGGGGGAAAGUGGCUAAUUUGGUAACUCGUCACCCCAUAUCACCAUGGCAAAGACCAGGGGCAGUGUGUUCUCACACAGAUACGCACCUCUGUUUGGUGGAAAUUAUUCCCUCUGCUUCCUCAGGUUACUGCUCCUGGAGACCUGGACGGACAGGCCCCACAG